rnacentral:misc_RNA from 1 species
UUCGAGCGUCAUUAUAACCACUCAAGCUCUCGCUUGGUAUUGGGGUGCGCGGUUCCGCGGCCUCUAAAGUCAGUGGCGGUGCAUCCGGCUCCGAGCGUAGUAAUUCUUCUCGCUCUGGAGGUCCGGUUGUGUGCUUGCCAUCAACCCCCAAUUUUUUUCAGGUUGACCUCGGAUCAGGUAGGGAUACCCGCUGAACUUAA